rnacentral:rRNA from 1 species
CGUAGGGGGCGAGCGUUGUCCGAAGUUACUGGGCGUAAAGCGCGCGUAGGCGGCUUCUUAAGUCUGAGGUGAAAGGUUCAACGCUCAACGUGAACAGUGCCUUGGAUACUGGGAGGCUUGAGUAUGGGAGAGGGCAGUGGAAUGGCUGGUGUAGCGGUGAAAUGCGUAGAUAUCAGUCGGAACACCCAUGGCGAAGGCAGCUGCCUGGCCUAAUACUGACGCUGAGGUGCGAAAGCGUGGGGAGCGAACGGGAUUAGAUACCCCGGUAGUCCACGCCGUAAACGAUGAGUGCUAGGUGUCAGCGGUAUCGACCCCGCUGGUGCCGUCGCUAACGCAUUAAGCACUCCGCCUGGGGAGUACGGCCGCAAGGUUG